rnacentral:rRNA from 1 species
UACGAAGGGGGCUAGCGUUGCUCGGAAUGACUGGGCGUAAAGGGCGCGUAGGCGGAUGGUACAGUCAGAUGUGAAAUUCCCGGGCUCAACCUGGGGGCUGCAUUUGAUACGUAUGAUCUUGAGUGGGGAAGAGGGUCGUGGAAUUCCCAGUGUAGAGGUGAAAAUUCGUAGAUAUUGGGAAGAACGACCGGUGGCGAAGGCGGCGACCUGGUCCUUAUACUGACGCUGAGGCGCGAAAAGCGUGGGGAGCAAACAGG